ACAUGUGGUUUAAUUCGAUGAUACGCGAGGAACCUUACCCGGGCUUAAAUUGCAGUGGAAUGAUGUGGAAACAUGUCAGUGAGCAAUCACCGCUGUGAAGGUGCUGCAUGGUUGUCGUCAGCUCGUGCCGUGAGGUGUCGGCUUAAGUGCCAUAACGAGCGCAACCCUUAUCUUUAGUUACUAACAGGUCAUGCUGAGGACUCUGGAGAGACUGCCGUCGUAAGAUGUGAGGAAGGUGGGGAUGACGUCAAAUCAGCACGGCCCUUACGUCCGGGGCUACACACGUGUUACAAUGG
rnacentral:rRNA from 1 species